GACGAACGCUGGCGGCGUGCCUAAUACAUGCAAGUAGAACGCUGAAGGAGGAGCUUGCUUCUCUGGAUGAGUUGCGAACGGGUGAGUAACGCGUAGGUAACCUGCCUGGUAGCGGGGGAUAACUAUUGGAAACGAUAGCUAAUACCGCAUAAUAGUAGAUGUUGCAUGACAUUUGCCUAAAAGGUGCAAUUGCAUCACUACCAGAUGGACCUGCGUUGUAUUAGCUAGUUGGUGGGGUAACGGCUCACCAAGGCGACGAUACAUAGCCGACCUGAGAGGGGGAUCGGCCCACCGGGGAAUGGACCCGGCCCCGACCCCCUGGGGGGGGCAGCAGUGGGGAUUCUUGGGCAAGGGCGGGAGGUCUGACCGAGCACCGCGGGGGGGGAGAAGAGGUUUUCCGGUUCGAAAAGUUCUGUUAAAGGAGAAGAACGGGUGUGAGGGGGAAAAUUCCACACGGGGACGUUUUCUAACAAAAAAGGGACGGCUAACUCCGGC
rnacentral:rRNA from 1 species